GUACUUGGUGUUACUGCGAAGGGGGGACGGAGAAGGCUAUGUUGGCCGGGCGACGGUUGUCCCGGUUUAAGCGUGUAGGUGUGUGUUCCAGGUAAAUCCGGUUCACUUUAACACUGAGGCGUGACGACGAGGCACUACGGUGCUGAAGCAACAAAUGCCCUGCUUCCAGGAAAAGCCUCUAAGCAUCAGGUAACAUCAAAUCGUACCCCAAACCGACACAGGUGGUCAGGUAGAGAAUACCAAGGCGCUUGA
rnacentral:rRNA from 1 species